rfam:Triticum aestivum genome assembly, contig: Triticum_aestivum_CS42_TGACv1_scaffold_082425_1DS
UUUCUACUCCCUCCAUCCGAAAAUACUUGUCAUCAAAAUGGAUAAAAGAUGUAUCUAAAACUAAAAUACGUCUAGAUACAUUUCCUUUUAUUCAUUUUGAUGAAAAGUAUUUCCGGACGGAGGGAGUAUUUG